CUCCGGUUGAUCCUGCCGGACCCGACUGCUAUCGGAUUGAGAUUUAGCCAUGCGAGUCGAACGUCUCCCUGUUGCGGGGGGCGUGGCGUACGGCUCAGUAACACGUAGUCAACCUGCCCUGGAGACAAGGACAACCCCGGGAAACUGGGAUUAAUCCUUGAUAGGUCAUCUCAUCUGGAAGGAGAGAUGGCUUAAAGGGGUACGCGGGCUUCUUCCGCGAAUUCGCUCCAGGAUGGGACUGCGUCCGAUCAGGCUGUUGGCGGGGUAAUGGCCCACCAAACCUGUAACCGGUACGGGCCUUGAGAGAGGUGGCCCGGAGAUGGACACUGAGAGAAGGGUCCAGGUCCUACGGGGCGCAGCAGGCGCGAAACCUUCGCAAUGCGCGAAAGCGUGACGAGGUUAAUCCGAGUGACUCCCGCUUAGGGGGUCUUUUGUCAGCUGUAAAUAGGCAGGCGAAUAAGGGGAGGGCAAGCCUGGUGUCAGCCGCCGCGGUAAUACCAGCUCCUCGAGUGGUCGGGGCGAUUAUUGGGCCUAAAGCAUCCGUAGCCGGUUCCGUAGGUCCUCUGUUAAAUCCAACCGCUUAACGGUUGACCUGCAGAGGAUACCGCGGGACUAGGAGGCGGGAGAGGCGGACGGUACUCCGCGUGUAGGGGUAAAAUCCUUUGAUCCGCGGAAGACCACCAGUGGCGAAGGCGGUCCGCCAGAACGCGCUCGACGGUGAGGGAUGAAAGCUGGGGGAGCGAACCGGAUUAGAUACCCGGGUAGUCCCAGCCGUAAACGAUGCUAGCUAGAUGAUUCAUUCGCAAGUCGCGAAUGAAGUGUCGCAGGGAAGCCGUUAAGCUAGCCGCCUGGGGAGUACGGUCGCAAGACUGAAACUUAAAGGAAUUGGCGGGGGAGCA
rnacentral:rRNA from 1 species